CGGGUGAGUAAUACAUCGGAACGUGUCUUCUAGUGGGGGAUAACUGCCCGAAAGGGCAGCUAAUACCGCAUGAGACCUGAGGGUGAAAGCGGGGGAUUGCAAGACCUCGCGCUGGAAGAGCGGCCGAUGUCCGAUUAGCUAGUUGGUGAGGUAAAGGCUCACCAAGGCGACGAUCGGUAGCUGGUCUGAGAGGACGACCAGCCACACUGGGACUGAGACACGGCCCAG
rnacentral:rRNA from 1 species